CUACGGGUGGCACCAGUGGGGAAUAUUGGACAAUGGGGGAAACCCUGAUCCAGCAAUGCCGCGUGUGUGAAGAAGGCCUGCGGGUUGUAAAGCACUUUCGGUUGGGAGGACUGCUUCUAGCACUAAUAUUGUUGGAAGUUGACGUUACCUUCAGAAAAAGCACCGGCUAACUCCGUGCCAGCAGCCGCGAUAAUACGGAGGGUGCAAGCGUUAAUCGGAAUUACUGGGCGUAAAGCGCGCGUAGGCGGCUAGAUCAGUCGGGUGUGAAAGCCCCGGGCUUAACCUGGGAACUGCAUCCGAUACUGUCUAGCUUGAGUACAGGAGAGGAGAGUGGAAUUCCACAUGUAGCGGUGAAAUGCGUAGAUAUGUGGAGGAACACCAAUGGCGAAGGCAGCUCUCUGGCCUGAUACUGACGCUGAGGUGCGAAAGCGUGGGGAGCAAACAGGAUUAGAUACCCGGGUAGUC
rnacentral:rRNA from 1 species